CAGUAGCCGCGGUAAUACGGAGGAUCCGAGCGUUAUCCGGAAUUAUUGGGUUUAAAGGGUGCGUAGGCGGAUAGAUAAGUCAGUGGUGAAAGACGGUGGCUCAACCAUCGCAGUGCCGUUGAUACUGUUUAUCUUGAAUAUGGAUGAGGUAGGCGGAAUGUGGCAAGUAGCGGUGAAAUGCAUAGAUAUGCCACAGAACACCGAUUGCGAAGGCAGCUUACCAAGGCAAAAUUGACGCUGAGGCACGAAAGCGUGGGGAUCGAACAGGAUUAGAUACCCCAGUAGUCCCUGUCUCUUAUAC
rnacentral:rRNA from 1 species